GCUGAACUUAAGCAUAUCAAUAAGCGGAGGAAAAGAAACCAACAGGGAUUGCCCUAGUAACGGCGAGUGAAGCGGCAACAGCUCAAAUUUGAAAUCUGGCCCUUUCAGGGUCCGAGUUGUAAUUUGUAGAGGGUGCUUUGGCGUUGGCUGUGGUCUAAGUUCCUUGGAACAGGACGUCGCAGAGGGUGAGAAUCCCGUAUGUGGCCGCCAGUCUUCGCCGUGUAAAGCCCCUUCGACGAGUCGAGUUGUUUGGGAAUGCAGCUCUAAAUGGGAGGUAAAUUUCUUCUAAAGCUAAAUAUUGGCCAGAGACCGAUAGCGCACAAGUAGAGUGAUCGAAAGAUGAAAAGCACUUUGGAAAGAGAGUCAAAAAGCACGUGAAAUUGUUGAAAGGGAAGCGCUUGCAGCCAGACUUGCUUGCAGUUGCUUAGCCGGGCUCCUGCCCGGUGUACUCUUCUGCACGCAGGCCAGCAUCAGUCCGGGCGGUUGGAUAAAGGCCUAUUAAACGUACCUCCCCUCGGGGAGGACUUAUAGGGUAGGUGACAUGCAACCAGCCUG
rnacentral:rRNA from 1 species